GAAGCAACGCGAAGAACCUUACCAGGUCUUGACAUCCUCUGACAAUCCUAGAGAUAGGACGUCCCCUUCGGGGGCAGAGUGACAGGUGGUGCAUGGUUGUCGUCAGCUCGUGUCGUGAGAUGUUGGGUUAAGUCCCGCAACGAGCGCAACCCUUGAUCUUAGUUGCCAGCAUUCAGUUGGGCACUCUAAGGUGACUGCCGGUGACAAACCGGAGGAAGGUGGGGAUGACGUCAAAUCAUCAUGCCCCUUAUGACCUGGGCUACACACGUGCUACAAUGGACAGAACAAAGGGCAGCGAAACCGCGAGGUUAAGCCAAUCCCACAAAUCUGUUCUCAGUUCGGAUCGCAGUCUGCAACUCGAGUGCGUGAAGCUGGAAUCGCUAGUAA
rnacentral:rRNA from 1 species